rnacentral:rRNA from 1 species
CUGUGGGGGUGUUUAAGGUCCGUCCGGGGAGGUCUGCUUCCAACCUUAGUCCAUCCAUGACUACGGUUUAUGGACAUGGCCCACAGAGGGUUGAAAGGCCGUGGGGGGUGAGGAUUCGUAGGGCCAGAACUUUCAUGGGUAGACCUCGGAGUCGGGUUGUUUGUGAAUGCAGCCCAAAGUGGGUGGUAAACUCCAUCCAAGGCUAAAUACUUGCACGAGUCCGAUAGCGAACAAGUACCGUGAGGGAAAGUUGAAAAGUACUUUGAAGAGAGAGUAAACAGUGCGUGAAACCGCUCAGAGGUAAACGGGUGGAGUUGAACUGCAAGCUCUGGGAAUUCAAUUGGUGAGUGUGGUUUGAGCUUGGUCAUAUUGGUGGACGUCGGGGUCUGCGUAGCAGCAGGUCUUCGCCUUCGGGUGGGGAUGCGCGAUGCACUUAUCAAGUGUUGUGCGCCUCGGUUGUUCCCGGCCAACUCGCUAGUGCACUUUCUCAGAGUGGUCACCACGACCGGCGCCGCUGUUUGGCCACUGUGGUUAAACCGAGUUUGCAUAGUCCGAGUGGCUUUGUAAGGUCGGGAUGGCAGGUAGCUCGUUGGCUCGCUUGUGGUUUCGCCAUGAGUGUUGUCUUCAAGUCUAAUCCGCUGACCGUAGUGGUUCUGUGCAGUGUGUCGGGGACGGCGGCUCGAGGUGUGUGCAUGCGUUGCUGUUUUGCUGACUGGUCCGAGUUUGCUUACCUUGAUUCCUGCCAAUCAGGUGAGGUACAGGUAUAAGCCCAGCCACAAAGCCGGUGGCCAUGUCAUACCCCACAAUGCGCCCGUAAGUCGUGUAGCGAGACGAUCCUCCGUCC